CCAACGGCCCUCUUUAGGGCCACAAAUUUAUCAGAGAAUCCAGCU
rfam:Caenorhabditis japonica strain DF5081 Contig17800.11, whole genome shotgun sequence.